rnacentral:lncRNA from 1 species
AGUAGAAUGGCGGGUUAGAGAUCACGGCCGGUGGUUGUGCCUAGAAGGUGCAUCAUGUACUGCAACCUCUUCCAGCUGUUGUUGUUGUUGAAAAUCUUGAACAGCCUCCAUUAGACCUUUUACUUGCUGCAUGAGGGCAGCAAACCAAAAAUUUACCAUCACCGACGGCCGUGAAGCACUUGGCUCCCUACGGGUUGUCGGAGGUGCAUCACGC